rnacentral:rRNA from 1 species
UACGAGGGGGGCGAGCGUUGUUCGGAAUUAUUGGGCGUAAAGGGCGCGUAGGCGGUCGGAUAAGUCUUGUGUGAAAUCUUCGGGCUCAACUCGAAGUCUGCACAGGAAACUACCUGGCUUGAGUGUGGGAGAGGUGAGUGGAAUUCCUGGUGUAGCGGUGAAAUGCGUAGAUAUCAGGAGGAACACCGGUGGCGAAGGCGGGUCUCUGGGCCGUUACUGACGCUGAGGAGCGAAAGCGUGGGGAGCGAACAGG